GAAAGGUGGCCGAGUGGUUUAAGGCUCUAGUCUUGAAAACUAGCGAGGUUAAUAGCCUCCGUGGGUUCGAAUCCCACCCUUUCC
rnacentral:tRNA from 1 species